UUGUGAAGUUUUUGGUUUUUCUUAAAAGAUUUGCCACCUGGAAACUGAGUAAGGAUGCCAUAAUUGCACAAGCAGAAAACAGAAUAUGCCUAAUGCCUUUGUUGAACUGGAAUCCGAGGAGGCUUUGGUACCCAGCUGUUUGUUUAGUCUGCUUAAAUGUACAGUGUCUGACAGAAGUUUCUUCUCCACAAGAGGCUUUCAUUCACUGGCCAGCAAAUGAACAUCCAGUCUGGGAGAGAAAGGUAGACGAUUAUUAGCCUGGGAUCAUGUGAGAAUGUGCUUGAGAAUGUACAAAGUACAUAAUAUAAGAAGCAGAUGUGGGAUGUGUGUGACUGCAGCUGUUUAGCGACAUACUCCUGCUACGUGCUUUUGCUGCCAGAAGAAGAUCGAUACUGACAAACAGCUGACCGUAGGGCUUUCAUGUCUCACGAUUGUGUGUGUAUAUCAUCUAACUUUCAAAAAAGGUUUUAUAAACCAUACCAAGAUUUACAAAAGUCACAGACUGGCUCCCAGUCCAGCCUUUGGAGGCCUGGCAUAGCUGGGGAUUUUCCCUCAUAGACAGCCUUAGUGGACCCGACAAC